GGGCUUAUGAUGAUAAAUUCAAUUAUCUUAGCGGAUUUCAGUGAGGUUAUAUUAAUCAAUGAUCUGAUUUGUUACACACACUGAAGCCU